GACGAACGCUGGCGGCGUGCUUAACACAUGCAAGUCGAACGGAAAGGCCCUGCUUUUGUGGGGUGCUCGAGUGGCGAACGGGUGAGUAACACGUGAGUAACCUGCCCUUGACUUUGGGAUAACUUCAGGAAACUGGGGCUAAUACCGGAUAGGAGCUCCUGCUGCAUGGUGGGGGUUGGAAAGUUUCGGCGGUUGGGGAUGGACUCGCGGCUUAUCAGCUUGUUGGUGGGGUAGUGGCUUACCAAGGCUUUGACGGGUAGCCGGCCUGAGAGGGUGACCGGCCACCUUGGGACUGAGAUACGGCCCAGACUCCUACGGGGGGCAGCAGUGGGGAAUAUUGCACAAUGGGCGGAAGCCUGAUGCAGCAACGCCGCGUGCGGGAUGACGGCCUUCGGGUUGUAAACCGCUUUCGCCUGUGACGAAGCGUGAGUGACGGUAAUGGGUAAAGAAGCACCGGCUAACUACGUG
rnacentral:rRNA from 1 species